AUUGAACGCUGGCGGCAGGCUUAACACAUGCAAGUCGAGCGGAGAUGAGGUGCUUGCACCUUAUCUUAGCGGCGGACGGGUGAGUAAUGCUUAGGAAUCUGCCUAUUAGUGGGGGACAACAUUCCGAAAGGAAUGCUAAUACCGCAUACGUCCUACGGGAGAAAGCAGGGGACCUUCGGACCUUGCGCUAAUAGAUGAGCCUAAGUCGGAUUAGCUAGUGGGUGGGGUAAAGGCCUACCAAGGCGACGAUCUGUAGCGGGUCUGAGAGGAUGAUCCGCCACACUGGGACUGAGGCACGGCCCAGACUCCUACGGGAGGCAGCAGUGGGGAAUGUUGGACAAUGGGGGGAACCCUGAUCCAGCCAUGCCGCGUGUGUGAAGAAGGCCUUAUGGUUGUAAAGCACUUUAAGCGAGGAGGAGGCUACUGAGACUAAUACUCUUGGAUAGUGGACGUUACUCGCAGAAUAAGCACCGGCUAACUCUGUGCCAGCAGCCGCCGUAAGAC
rnacentral:rRNA from 1 species